UCAGGUCAGCAAACCCGCUGAAUUUAAGCAUAUAAGUAAGCGGAGGACAAGAAACUAAACAGGAUUCCCCUAGUAAUGGCGAAUGAACAGGGAUGAGCUCAGCAUGGAAAUCGGGGUCUCCCGACCUUGAAUUGUAGUCUGUAGAUGUACUGCCAACGGAGGCGCAGAUGUAAGCCUCUUGGAAAAGAGCAUCAACGAGGGUGAGAGUCCCGUUUGUCAUCUGCAGUCCCCCGUGCACGGUGUGCCUUCUAAGAGUCACGUUCCUCGGGAUUGGAGCGCAAAGUGGGUGGUAAAUUUCAUCUAAAGCUAAAUAUUGGUUCGAGACCGAUAGCAAACAAGUACCAUGAGGGAAAGGUGAAAAGGACUUUGAAAAGAGAGUCAAAGAGUGCUUGAAAUUGUCGGGAGGGAAGCGGAUGGGGGCUG
rnacentral:rRNA from 1 species